UUGCCCGAAUCCUGACACAGGGAGGUAGUGACAAGAAAUAACAAUACAGGGCUACAUCUAGUCUUGUAAUUGGAAUGAGUACAAUUUACAUCUCUUCACGAGGAUCAAUUGGAGGGCAAGUCUGGUGCCAGCAGCCGCGGUAAUUCCAGCUCCAAUAGCGUAUAUUAAAGUUGUUGCAGUUAGAACGCUCGUAGUCGGAUUUCGGGGCGGGCCGACCGGUCUGCCGAUGGGUACGCACUGGCCGGCGCGUCCUUCCUUCCGGAGACCGUGCCUACUCUUAACUGAGCGGGGGCGGGAGACGGAUCGUUUACUUUGAAAAAAUCAGAGUGUUUCAAGCAGGCAGCUCGCUCUUGCAUGGAUUAGCAUGGGAUAAUGAAAUAGGACUUUGGUGCUAUUUUGUUGGUUUCGAACACCGAAGUAAUGAUUAAAAGGGACAGUCAGGGGCACUCGUAUUCCGCCGAGAGAGGUGAAAUUCUCAGACCAGCGGAAGACGAACCACUGCGAAAGCAUUUGCCAGGGAUGUUUUCACUGAUCAAGAACGAAAGUUAGGGGAUCGAAGAGGAUCAGAUACCCUCGUAGUCUUAACCAUAAACCAUGCCGACUAGGGAUUGGGGGAUGUUCACAUUUGACUCCCUCAGCACCUUACGGGAAACUAAAGUCUUUGGGUUCCGGGGGGAGUAUGGUCGCAAGGCUGAAACUCAAA
rnacentral:rRNA from 1 species